GGAUUGAGAACAACGUACAAACCUUAUCGAUAAACAAUUGGAGGGCAAGUCUGGUGCCAGCAGCCGCGGUAAUUCCAGCUCCAAUAGCGUAUAUUAACGUUGUUGCAGUUAAAAAGCUCGUAGUUGAAAUGAAGGGUAGUUGUGUAAUGAAUACAUUCGUGUAUUUUGUUAUUCAAGUACCCUCCUUCUAAAUUCGAUAUAUGAGUAUUAAUUUACUUGUAUAUGGUUUUAGACGUUUACUGUGAGAAAAUUAGAGUGUUCAAAGCAGGCAUUUGCUUGAAUAUAUUAGCAUGGAAUAAUCAUGUAUGAUUUUCAUGAUGUAUUUGAUUGGUUUGGUUCAUGAGAAUAAGAUUAAAAGGGACAGUUGGGGGUAUUCAUAUUCAAUAGUCAGAGGUGAAAUUCUCGGAUUUAUGGAAGAUGAACAAGUGCGAAAGCA
rnacentral:rRNA from 1 species